rnacentral:rRNA from 1 species
UACGGAGGGUGCGAGCGUUGUCCGGAAUCACUGGGCGUAAAGGGCGCGUAGGUGGCCCGUUAAGUGGCUGGUGAAAUCCCGGGGCUCAACUCCGGGGCUGCCGGUCAUACUGGCGAGCUAGAGCACGGUAGGGGCAGAUGGAAUUCCCGGUGUAGCGGUGGAAUGCGUAGAUAUCAGGAGGAACACCGGUGGCGAAGGCGGCUCUCUGGACCACAACUGACGCUGAGGCGCGAAAGCUAGGGGA